rnacentral:miRNA from 1 species
CUAGCCUUACCCAUCCCUGGG